AGAGUUUGAUCAUGGCUCAGAUUGAACGCUGGCGGCAUGCCUAACACAUGCAAGUCGAACGGUAACGACGGGAGCUUGCUCCCGGGCGACGAGUGGCGGACGGGUGAGUAAUACUUGGGAAUCUGCCCAGUAGUGGGGGACAACAUUCGGAAACGGAUGCUAAUACCGCAUACGCACUACGGUGGAAAGUGGGGGAUCUUCGGACCUCACGCUAUUGGAUGAGCCCAAGUCGGAUUAGCUUGUUGGUGAGGUAAAGGCUCACCAAGGCGACGAUCCGUAGCUGGUCUGAGAGGACGAUCAGCCACACUGGGACUGAGACACGGCCCAGACUCCUACGGGAGGCAGCAGUGGGGAAUAUUGGACAAUGGGCGCAAGCCUGAUCCAGCAAUGCCGCGUGUGUGAAGAAGGCCUGCGGGUUGUAAAGCACUUUCAGUAGAGAAGAAAAGCCUAGGGUUAAUACCCCUGAGUCUUGACGUAACCUACAGAAGAAGCACCGGCUAACUCCGUGCCAGCAGCCGCGGUAAUACGGAGGGUGCGAGCGUUAAUCGGAAUUACUGGGCGUAAAGCGCGCGUAGGCGGUUUUGUAAGUCGGUUGUGAAAUCCCCGGGCUCAACCUGGGAAUUGCUUCCGAGACUGAGCGGCUAGAGUACGGUAGAGGGCGGUGGAAUUUCCGGUGUAGCGGUGAAAUGCGUAGAUAUCGGAAGGAACACCAAUGGCGAAGGCAGCCGCCUGGGCCUGUACUGACACUGAGACACGAAAGCGUGGGGAUCAAACAGGAUUAGAUACCCUGGUAGUCCACGCCGUAAACGAUGAGAACUUGACGUCGGCAUGCUCUGCGUGUCGGUGUCGUAGCUAACGCGAUAAGUUCUCCGCCUGGGGGAGUACGGCCGCCAAGGUUGAAACUCAAAAGGAAUUGACGGGGGGCCCGCACAAGCGGUGGAGUAAUUUGGGUUUAAAUUCUAUGGCACCGCGAAGAAACCUUUCCUGGGCCUUGAAAUGGUUAGGAAUCCUGCGC
rnacentral:rRNA from 1 species